GACGAACGCUGGCGGCGUGCCUAAUACAUGCAAGUAGAACGCAGGGGCGAACGGGUGAGUAACGCGUAGGUAACUGCCUCAUAGCGGGGGAUAACUAUUGGAAACGAUAGCAAAGACCGCAUACGGUGAGAUGGACCUGCGUUGUAUUGGCUAGUUGGUGAGGUAAAGGCCCACCAAGGCGACGAUACAUAGCCGACCUGAGAGGGUGAUCGGCCGCACUGGGACGGAGACACGUCACAGACUCCUUCGGGAGCCAGCAGUAGGGAAACUUCGGCAAUGGGCGGAAGUCUGACCGCGCAACGCCGCGUGAGUGAAGAGGGUUUUCGGGUCGUAAAGCUCUGUUGUCAGGGAAGCGGUAGCUGCCCAAAAAGCACCGGCUAACUACGUGCCAGCAGCCGCGGUAAUAC
rnacentral:rRNA from 1 species